CUCAUGCCCGUCAAUUGAAUACUAUCUGAAAUUUUGUGAUGUUUAGAAUGUAAUUUGCCUAAUAAUUCAGGUAGCAGCAACCCUGAUCAUUCAUAGUAUGCCGAGCACGCUAAUUGCAUGUACAACACUUGGGAAGAUAGUCAUACUCUACAGUGACGAUGACCUACGACAAUAUACUAACAUUCACUCAUGAUUUAUUCCAAUGUUAAAUGUAACGACUGUUGUCUGUAGCAGCAACCCUGAUCAUUCAUAGUAUGCCGAGCACGCUAAUUGCAUGUACAACACUUGGGAAGAUAGUCAUACUCUACAGUGACGAUGACCUACGACAAUAUACUAACAUUCACUCAUGAUUUAUUCCAAUGUUAAAUGUAAUGACUGUUGUCUGUAGCAGCAACACUGAUCAUUCAUAGUAUGCCGAGCACGCUAAUUGCAUGUACAACACUUGGGAAGAUAGUCAUACUCUACAGUGACGAUGACCUACGACAAUAUACUAACAUUCACUCAUGAUUUAUUCCAAUGUUAAAUGUAACGACUGUUGUCUGUAGCAGCAACCCUGAUCAUUCAUAGUAUGCCGAGCACGCUAAUUGCAUGUACAACACUUGGGAAGAUAGUCAUACUCUACAGUGACGUCGACCUACGACAAUAUACUAACAUUCACUCAUGAUUUAUUCCAAUGUUAAAUGUAAUGACUGUUGUCUGUAGCAGCAACACUGAUCAUUCAUAGUAUGCCGAGCACGCUAAUUGCAUGUACAACACUUGGGAAGAUAGUCAUACUCUACAGUGACGAUGACCUACGACAAUAUACUAACAUUCACUCAUGAUUUAUUCCAAUGUUAAAUGUAAUGACUGUUGUCUGUAGCAGCAACACUGAUCAUUCAUAGUAUGCCGAGCACGCUAAUUGCAUGUACAACACUUGGGAAGAUAGUCAUACUCUACAGUGACGAUGACCUACGACAAUAUACUAACAUUCACUCAUGAUUUAUUCCAAUGUUAAAUGUAAUGACUGUUGUCUGUAAGUUGACGGUACUAUCAUAAAUUAAAUUUUACAAAUCUAAAGAAUGUUCAUAAAACUCCAUUGCCAUGUAAUUUUCCAUCAUAGGAAUUGA